ACAGGAGAAGCAGCCGCAGAGCUGGGCAGGAAAUGCUAAUCACACAGAUGUUCUCCUCCAGUCCCUGCUCCUCCACAAUUAAACCCAAAUCUUCCACUGAGUGGAAGAAGCAGAACCGGGCCAGACCAGCUCCCAUUCCUACCCACUCCUCAUCUUCCUGUCCCCAAUACCUACCAUCAACUGAUCAACUGAAAGCUGGGAGUGAGGGAACAAAACCCAGAAGCAAUGGGGUACCCAAGGAGGAUGGGGCUACAGAGGGGACACGGAGCGGGAGGAGGACACGGAGCCCCAGGGAGAGAGAGCCUGCUAUGACCCCGUGGCGUGCUGCAGUCAAUAGCCCAUUGAUCUCUGGGGGCUGAAGGCGCCAUUGUGCCCGGCUUGGGGAGGGGGGGGGUUGUCCAAGGCGAUGUCAAAGGGAAGGAAUGUGUCUGGCUCUGAUGCCCCGGGGGCUCCAGGCUCAGAAUCUCAGCCAGGUCUUUCUUGGGUUUUCUGACCACAUCCCAGCUCCAGCAUCCACCCGCCUUCCUCCAGUAGUCACCUUUCCUUUCUUCUUUAAGGGAAUCUUAACCUCACCUGCCAUUCUACUCUCUUCGACCUUCUCCUUAUAGACCAGGUCUCAGUGUCCAGAGACUGAACUAUUUAUUCACAGACAGUCCGACAAGGAGGCUGGCCUGGUCAACAAAAAUAUAUGCGUGAAAAUGAGGCUCUGAACGAGGAGCUGUCCAGCAGCUCAGCUCUCAUACAGUUUGCCGUGCUGCGGAGGAAGCACAGAAUACUGAGGAAAUGGAGAGAAAAAGUGACCAACUUUAGGAACAGGAAGGCAGCGACCUCGGAUUUUCUUCCUCCCAACAUCACGGAGACAGAAUGGACUCGGGUGGUUCUACUAAAGCUCCAGGAUUCCCCGGACUCCAUGACGUCAUCGCGCCCGCUCCAUGACACCACUGCCCAGGAGGCCUCCUCGAUUGGGUUGUCGGGGUCUCGAUACCAGGAAGCCCCUCUGUAGACGCUGGAUCCAUUGAUCUGAACCCCUUGGUGUUUAGAUCAGACGUGUGACAGCCACCUCUAGGGUUCUUUCCUCUUCUCAGAGCUUUUGCCCUGAUUACUGCUCCCUAUUCCUGAUCCGUACAUAGCUCGCUGGGUCUAUAACCCCAGGGUCAAUAUCCCCGCAUUCUCCAGAUCUUCGAGUUUGAUGGGGGAGGAAACUGACUGACAAUUGCAGUCUUGCUGCUCCCCCUCCUCAAUCUUCCCCACAUACACAGACAUAUAUGUUUCUCCCAGGGCUCUGCACGUCUAUUUCCCACUCCUUUCCCUUUCCCUCCCUUUUCUCCCUCCCUGCUGGGCUGGGGGCUGCUGAAUUAUCAUUUCUCAGCUCCACUAAUGUGCGCCCUGCUGUGAGGAGGGAUCAUAAUUCUGGGAGAUGAUUAAGUUUCAAAUUGUUUUUCUUUGUGUUGUUGGAAACGAGACUUUAAUGUGGUCCCUCCCCUAGCAGGGGACCUGGCCUAGCCUCAGUCGCCUGCCCUAGACCCUGCCCACCCCUGUCUAAGCCCUUUCCUCUCUGAAUGGUUAUCCUGAGGAAGAAACCUGGGCUAUUUCCCCAGGGAUCUCUUCCAAGUACGGAGAUCUACUCCUUCCUCAGAAAGGAGUAUGUAAAGUCAUCUCCCACACUUGGAGAUCCCACCAAGCCUGAGCUAGUGUGGCCCAAGAAUGGUAAGGUUACUUUCCUUGCCUCUCUACAUUCCUGAACGCUUUAAUUUGUUUUCUCCCUUUCUAUGCUCAGUCUACCCCAUUCAUACCUUCAUCUCCCUCUGUUACUUUCUAUUUAUUUCUAGAGAAUUAGAAAUCUUUCUUCCCCAUUCCCAAACCAUUCUUCUCAUUCUUACUUUCUUCUCUACCUUCUGCCUUUAACUCAUACUCUAUCUCUCAGCCUCAGCUUUCCUUCUCGCUCAUUUAUUUCUUUCAUUAAGACAUUUAUUCAUUUGACAUUCAUUCAGAAAGUAUUUAAUAAGCAUCUGAUAUUCCACAGGCACUGUGCUAGGCACUGGAAAUACAAAGACAAAAAAGAAAGAAAAUCCUCCUCAUCAAAGAGUUUAUAUUCUGGGAGGAUGAGAGGGGGGAAACAACAUGUAUACAUGUAUUUUGCAUCUGCAAAGGUAAGCAUCCAAAUAUUAUUGUGCAGCAUGAUGAAAACUGCAUUUGAAGUCAGAAGGCCUGAGUUUGAAUGCCAUUUCCACUAUUUACUAUUUGUGAGAUCUUCAGUCAUUUCACCAAUCAGGACCUCAGCUUCUUCAAAGCACAGCUAGGUGGUGCCAUAGUAUAUGGAGCACUGGGCCUGGAGUCAGGAAGGCUCCUCUUUCUGAGUUCAAAUCUGGCCUUAGAUACUUACUACCUGUGCAACCCUGGGCAAUUCAUUUAACUCUGUUUGUCUCAGUUCUUCAUCUGUAAAAUGAGCUGGAGAAGGAAAUGACACAUUGCUUCAGAAUCUUUGGCCAAGAAAACCACAAAUAUUGUCACAAAGAGUUGGAUACAAACUGCUAAGUACCAAGUAAGGUAUUCUUAUUGUGCAAUGGGAAGAAAACUGGGUAUGAAGUCAAAGGUUUGAAUGUCAUUUCUCCCAUUUACAAUUUGUGAGCCUUUCAGCAAGGCAUUUCACCACUCUGGACUUCAGUUUCCUUAUUUGUAAAUUGAAAUGGUCAGACUAGAUGACUUAUAAGGUCCCUCUAGCUCUAAAUUUAUGAUUCUAAACAUAAAGUAAUGGGGGAGGGGGAGGCAGGAUGCACUAGCAACUAAGUGGAUUGAAAUAGGUCUCAUGUAGGAAGUUAAACAGGGCAGCUAGGUGGCACAGUGGAUAGAACAUGGGACUAGAGUCAAGAAGACCUGAGUUCAAAUUUGGCCUCAGAUACUUAUUAGCUGUGUGACCUUGGGCAAAUAACUUAACCCUGUUUGCCUCAGUUUCCUCAUCUGUAAAAUGAGCUGGAGAAGUAAAUGUCAAACCAAGAAAACCACAAAUGGGGUCAAAUAGAGGUAGACACAAUUAAACAACAACAAUAACCAAAAGGAGGUGACCAAGCUCCCUUUACAGAAAUUAAGAAUUCUAAGAAUCAAAAGUGAGGAGAGAAUGAAUUUCAGAUACCUUUACAAAGGCAGAAUGUUAGAAGUUGGAAUGUCAAAUCCAGGGAAUAACAAGUAUAGUAGUCAACCAUUUUGUUUAGAUGGUAGAGAAAUUAAGAGGGAGUGAAGCAAUAUACAAUAAGCACUCUAUUCACUUCACCACCUUAUCUGCCCUAUUAUUUUGCAUUAGUUAUAUGUAAACUAAUAGACUAAAAGCUACCUGAGAGCAGGAAACAUGUUUUAUUCAUCUUUCUAUCCUUCUUAGCCCUUAACAUAAUGCCCUGUAUAUAUAGUUAAUGUUUGAUAAAUGAUCGUUGAGUAAAUGAGUAAAUGAAUGAGAAUACAAGUUCUGAGGAAAGUCAUUAAUGUGUAUAUUUGUGGGUAUGUGUGAAAAUGUGCAUAUAAAUUCAAUAAACAUGGAUUAUUUGUGUUUAUUCUUUAGGAAGGUACCCAAUGGAGUUUAAGCUGCUACAACCAAGGGCCACUGUGAUCUUGUUUUCUAGAAAAGUUCUCUGACAGCAUGGGAGUGGUCUGAAUAAGUUACCACUACCUUGGGCAACCACACUUUAAAAUCCUUGCGGUCUGUGGGUUGAUGAAGAGUUAGUGUUACUCUGGAGGACAACCAAUUUUCUUCUCAAGGCAAACCAGACCCUUCCAACAACUUCUUUCCUGAUCUGAGAUUCUUCAUGAUAAUGAUGGCAGAUGCAUCAUGGCAUUUACUUCUACAAAUAUAAGCUUUAGAAUUGGCUUUUCUCUGGCCCUUGUCAAGUAAAGGCAUUGAACCUGCUUGAGUGUGUUUCUGUAAUUGAUCUCCCUAACUUUCCAGCUAUCCAUGUCCUUCUCAUCCUUCAAGGCUCAACUCAAGUCUCAACCUCCUCUCUGAAACCAUACUGCUCUGGUAUUCAUUGAUGCAGUCUCCCUCCUUUUAAA